CUGCUGCCAGCGUCGUCUCCACCGACCACGUCCGCGAGCUGCUGCCGGAGAAGGCCGUUGAGGUUAUCAGUACAACCUCUCCCCCUUUAUUUUACAUCUGGUCCACAAGAUCCGAUCAGAAAUUUCAUGUCUUGUUCCUGUUAAAUGGCAUCUUGAUUGCACACGAAAGCUGCACACGUAGAUGUAGACAGAAACAUACGAGGAAGGAAAGAGCUAUAGUUGCUUACAAGUGAGCUGCAUGAGCAAGUUAGUGCCUACUUGAGAAACGAACCUGCUGACAGCAAUAAUAAUAAUUACAUAAAGGUAAAAUCAACUAGACAGGGUGUUAACUGAACAAACUAGUAAGCUUCUGAUUAAUCAUUUACACUAAAAUUCAAAUCUGCAACCAACACACUUUUGGCUGCUACGUUCCUAGUAUUUCACUAGUUAGGACAAUGGUGAUGUUUAUCUUAUGUUCCAGAUCAUCUUCCUUAACCUGGCCCUGGUUGAAGGAGCUCGCCGGCGAGGCCCGGGGGACGAGCUCGUGGUGACUCGCCCGGGGGACGAGCUCGUGGCGACUCGCCCGGGCUUCUGCUGCCAUCGUCGUCUCCAACGACCACGUCCGCAAGCUGCUGCCAGAGAAGGCCGUUGAGGUCAUCUUCGUCAACCUGGUGCUGGUGCAACCGCACGUAUACAACACCCGCAGAUCUGCGUAGAUAAAGCUGUUGCUGGCGCCUCUCCUGUCGCAGGGAGAUGAUUUAGUUGCGCCUCCCUCCACGUUGGUGCAUUUGACGAUUCAGUGCAUGAUACAUGGGGAUGUCCUUUGCCUGGCCUAAUCAAAUAUAUGGCUGCCUCCUUCGACUGGAAUGACUACUACAUCACCGUGUCCCCCAUCGGCGAGCCACAGAAGGUCAACUUUAUGCCUUUUUUCUGUUUCGAAGUUUAAAUAAGUACGAUGCAGCAACGAUUGAAACAUAUGCUUUGAUCUCUAUUGUUGUUGUUGUGUGAGGUACUCCUAUUGUCUGUACCUACUAUGUGCAGUGGUAACACUAUUUGCUUGCUCUAAAUAAACGUAACAUGUUAAAGAGAUCUUCCAUAAAUUCAAUGCUAGCUUUGUAUAUCCAGUUUGCAUGGUGUGUUCUAUACAUAGCAUUCCCAACUUGGCUAAUGGUGUUAUGGCAGUAGCUUCCAAAGGCGGUAGCCUGUAACUUGCAAGGCUGGUUGUGUCUUCAUGCUGAUUGCUAUUUGAGUGAUCUUGAUCUAGUAAUGAAGUUGAUAUGUGUCUAUGUUCCACUUCUGAAAUGGUGGGCUUAACCUGGUGGUUGGGUUCUUACUGAAGAGGGCUGUACUAUUGCUAUAUUCUGGCUGAUUGCACUUCUUGAACCUUACUAUAUUUAAGUGCUUAUGUCUAGCUCAAAAGUCAAAUUUCUCUGUUUCACUUUCACCAGAUGAAUGCUGUUUGCUGGAAUUGUAGGCUCGAAGUGUUAUUUUGUCACUAUUUUGAUUCAAUAGCAUGCCAUUUUGAUUUACUGAAAGUUAUUUCUUCUCUUUGAUAUAUGCAUAGUUGACGUUGCAAACUUGUAACUAGUGCUCUUCUGGGGUGAAAAUCUACAGUUUAGUGCUAUUUUGGCUAGUCAAUAUUUACUAGUGCUAUUCUGGAACUCUACGGUCUGUUUGUGUCCAGUUGUAAUUGUUCAUCUACCUGCUAUCAUCUCACUCAUGUUUUCAGGACAGUGAGGAUUCUUUGCUCAAAGGAAGAGUUGCCCAUCCAUGGCGAUGAUGCAUAAGAGUUGCCCCUCCAGUUCGCCUGCCCCCCCUGCUUUAUAACUAGAUCAGGAUAUUGAAAAGGAGGAGUACAUGGCAGCCAAGGUAGCAGCUGGCAUCUAGUAGGUUGAUUAUAUAAGAUUUGCAGAUUCUUGUGGUGGUAGCGGGGUGAGGAGGCGCCUCCUUUCCGGAGGUGUCCAACAUCAACAUUUGAUUCCUCUAUCUGUUUAUCUUGUUUGUUUGGUGGCUGUAAUGGAAGAUAAAUUGCAUGGUUAUGUUGCUGCCUAGGAUGGAUGAAUCCUCCUUGCUGUGUUUUGACCCGGGCAAUCUUGGCUGUAUCUCCUCCAGUAUGAUCAGCUGGAUGCCAAAAUCGAAGCAUACGUGCAUAUGCGUCACCGUUUUGCUGUUUGUAAUGGCUCCUCCGUAUUGGAGCUUGUAAGAGAUGGUGCGUUAAGUAGUUGGCUCGUUUUGUGUUUUGUAUUCUCGUGUUGGAGCUGGAUUGAUUCCGGGCUAAUUCAAAUGUUGUUUGUGCUUU